CAAGGAUAAGCUUAGACUCAGAACACUUUGCUGCUCUCUUGUGGUUAUUAGGUUAAUUAUUUUGUUUUGUUUAUUAUAAAGAUUUUCUGAUUAAAAUUCUGAAAGGGUGUGAAAUUUUGAAGAGCAUUUCCUAUGUGAGGCCACUGACAGGAAGUGUGAAUAUCGCCAACCACAGUGCAACAUGACAUGCAGAACUCGUUCACCCAUUGCAUUAACAGCUACUGCAAGGCUUUACCAAGUAGCAGAUAUCAGAGGGAUUUCAUUUUGAAUUCAGCAGAUGAGUGGAUAACAAUGGGUUUCAAUCAAUCUGAGGGUAUUUCUCAUCCUCUCAGUUUCAGGUUUUUAACCAACUUUUCAAAAAUGGUCGUGUUGUCCAUCCUUUGGUGUUUUGUGUUUUUUCUGGCAUUCAGUAUCUGCUUGUUUUUAUUUUAUUUUCAGCAGAACAAAAAGCAAAAAUCACAACCGAAUGGAUAUGAGGUCACAGAAGAAGAUGUUUCUUUAAAUGAGAUCUCUGAAAAGAUGAAGAAAAGAGAAAAAAAUAAAAGUUACAAAGAGCGGGUAAACUCAGUGUACUAUGAGUGGUUUACGGAUCACUUACCACAUAGGAAACCAGGCAAUUCAGAUUGCACAGUAGAGUACAAAUAAAUGAACUAGUCUAAAACAAUGAACUCUGGUCUUGUUUCAGUCAUAAAAAAUGUCUUAAUAACGUAUUAUAGUGCAAACACCUUUUGUUUUCAUUGGUCACUAUAAGAGGGCCACAAGAGGGCCUAAAUCACUAAUUAAGUGAGAUUCAUAAACAACAAAAAAUUAAAAGUAUAGUUUACAAGUUAAAAAAUGAAAUUUCGUGUGUAAUUCCUAGCCUGUAGGACAUUUUUCUUAUGUGUUCUGUGUUUUCUACUUUGUUUUUAGUGUUUUAUGUCCAUGUUUUCACAUUUUGGGCAAACUAUUCCUGCACUGGACAGAUUCAAGUAGUUUAUGCACAUUAAAAUAUAAAUGUCUUCCACACUGAAUAUAUAUGUAUUUGAAUAUAUGAAGAGUUUAUUUGCAAAAACAGAUAACUCUUUUUUAUUUAUUUUUUUUAAAAAUCAUGUUUUUUUUUUAUUGUUUUCAUGUGUUUAUUUUGAUUUAUUUUUUAUUCUUGUUAUUUUUUGCCUAAUCAAAAUAAACUGACUGCAGUUUGAUUGAGAUGAAUUGGAAUGCACAAAAAAAAAAAAAAAAUUGUUUUUGCCAAUUAACUCUUCAUAAAUAAAUAAAUAAAUAUAAAGAGAGACUGACUGUUUUUCCUUCUUUGAAUCCUUGAUUUUAAAUAUGACCAUGCAGUAUUAUGCUUGUUUAUGACUUUUAAUAAAAGACAAAGUUACUCACAUGUACAUAUAAAUUCUAUUUUUAUUCCACCCAUUAUACUUAAUUUAACCUGUUUUAUAAGAAUUUGAAUGGGUUGGCGAUUGUAAUCCAUAUAAAUCAUGGCAAUAAAGUUUUACUGACUCUGACUAAGAUUAGCCUGUCUCUGUGUACCUACUUUUUUGGGACAAAUUUAUACUCAGAAGUGAACUAGAUCUGACAAACCUCCUACAGCCUCCUUGAGGGGACUUCAUUUGUAAAAACAGUAUAAAAAUAAAGUAAAUAGAGUUUUUUUUUUUUUUUUUAGGUUUAGGGUGCAUGUAAAUUAAUGUUAGUAUUAAUAACUUGCUGUAUAUCAAAACAAUACAAGUCUAUGGAAUGUCCAUUUAGAUAGAUAAGUAAAUGUGUGUGUGUGUGUGUGUGUGUUUGGGGGUGGGGGUGUGGGGGAGGGUGAAUCACUG
ensembl:lncRNA